rnacentral:rRNA from 1 species
GCUCAAAUUUGAAAUCUGGCUCUCGGGCCCGAGUUGUAAUUUGUAGAGGAUACUUUUGAUGCGGUGCCUUCCGAGUUCCCUGGAACGGGACGCCAUAGAGGGUGAGAGCCCCGUCUGGUUGGAUGCCAAAUCUCUGUAAAGUUCCUUCGACGAGUCGAGUAGUUUGGGAAUGCUGCUCUAAAUGGGAGGUAUAUGUCUUCUAAAGCUAAAUACCGGCCAGAGACCGAUAGCGCACAAGUAGAGUGAUCGAAAGAUGAAAAGCACUUUGAAAAGAGAGUUAAAAAGUACGUGAAAUUGUUGAAAGGGAAGCGUUUAUGACCAGACUUGGGCUUGGUUAAUCAUCUGGGGUUCUCCCCAGUGCACUUUUCCAGUCCAGGCCAGCAUCAGUUUUCCCCGGGGGAUAAAGACUUCGGGAAUGUGGCUCUCUUCGGGGAGUGUUAUAGCCCGUUGUGUAAUACCCUGGGGGGGACUGAGGUUCGCGCAUCUGCAAGGAUGCUGGCGUAAUGGUCAUCAACGACCCGUCUUGAAACACGGACCAAGGAGUCGUCUUCGUAUGCGAGUGUUCGGGUGUCAAACCCCUACGCGUAAUGAAAGUGAACGCAGGUGAGAGCUUCGGCGCAUCAUCGACCGAUCCUGAUGUUCUCGGAUGGAUUUGAGUAAGAGCAUACGGGGCCGGACCCGAAAGAAGGUGAACUAUGCCUGUAUAGGGUGAAGCCAGAGGAAACUCUGGUGGAGGCUCGCAGCGGUUCUGACGUGCAAAUCGAUCGUCAAAUAUGGGCAUGGGGGCGAAAGACUAAUCGAACCUUCUAGUAGCUGGUUUCCGCCGAAGUUUCCCUCAGGAUAGCAGUGUUGAACUCAGUUUUAUGAGGUAAAGCGAAUGAUUAGGGACUCGGGGGCGCUAUUUAGCCUUCAUCCAUUCUCAAACUUUAAAUAUGUAAGAAGC